UCGUCUUCGAAAUGCGAGUUUUGCACGACAGUUCACGUGAAGCACUAGGGCGUUCUUUCAAAAUCGCCAUGCACUUGGAUUAGGGGCUCAUUCACACUUAUGGACGGCUAAAGGCCGCCGUCCAUCAGUAGAGUGCCGCCAAAUCUUGUGGGUGGAACACUAGAGGAUCUUAGUCGCACGUGUGAACGGGCCCUAACCGCACCAUUUGUCCUACAUCGUCAGGUUGAGUUGAGAGAGCGAGGAUGUUUCGAACAGAAACUUUUUGUGCAGCCACGCAAAAGUUUAAAGGUCGACUUCUGACGUCGGGAAGUAUUCCGAGAAACCUUGCGGGUCCUAUCACGUCACCUACAACAACUUCCGCUUCUUUCUUUUUUUGUCCGGAAGCUCCACGUAUCCGAGUCGAAACGUGUUAAUUGCGUUUCAGGAAGUGCGGAAACUGUUUCUAAGGCGGAAACUAAACAGGAGGGUCAAGAACAUACAACGCAUACAACGAAUGCCGCAUUGGCUGCACCCAAAAAUGCACCCCCAAAAUUGCAGUCCAUCUGCAGAAGCAGCAGCUGCAGAAGAGCAGUAGAAGAGCUGCAUCCAACGAAUACCUCAAAGGGGCCCUCGGAGGGGGAAUACGACGACAGCCGCUUAUUUCGACCGAUAUCACAUCAACGAAGAACCCAUCAGAGACAAUGACGUCGUCCUUCGUGUAUAGUCACUGUUCAGGGUCACUUCAUCUGAAGAAUUAGUAGGUAUCAGUAAUGUAGCGAGAGAAAUAUUUUUGGAUGGCAUUUACUGGCAUGACGGAAGACAAAAACGGCAGAUGAACUGUCCGUCUGUCGGUUUUCGUACUCCUUACCCACUCAUAAA